UCUUCAUUUCCCACACUGUCUCACCGGUCGGAUUGGCGAGAGAGUGUGCAAAAUGAAGAGA
rfam:Pristionchus pacificus strain PS312 contig2910, whole genome shotgun sequence.